rnacentral:rRNA from 1 species
AAAUAAAGGCAAAGAAAACGAAAACGGUCGAA